CAUCCUAAUAAUCAAAAGCUGAUGGCACAGGUUCUUUGUGAACUAUUUCAGACAUCUCCUCAAAGAGGGAACCUUCCAACAUCUGGGAACAUUUCAGGGUUUAUACGAAGAUUAUUUUUACAGUUGAUGCUGGAAGAUGAGAAAGUGACAAUGUUUCUUCAGUCUCCAUGUCCACUGUACAAAGGUAGAAUUAAUGCUACUAGCCACGUCAUCCAGCAUCCAAUGUAUGGAGCAGGCCACAAAUUCCGUACUCUUCAUUUGCCAGUCUCAACAACAUUAUCAGAUGUUCUUGACAGAGUGUCAGGCAAGUCAGAUUUAAGUAUUAGUUUUUGUUUAACUUUAUGUUUGAUGUAUAUGGAGGUUUAUUGUUUUUAUAACUUUAUUUUCGGCAUCCACUUUGCAACCAUUGAUGACUAGGAAAGUUCAAGACAUCUUUAUAGUUUGAAGCAUAAGAAGCCAGUCAAGUGGACAAAAUGUAAAAUACUUUUAGGCACCCCUAAUUUUUUGGUUUAUUGUGGCACAGUGACAAAUGGGCAGCUAGAAAUACAGACAAAUAAUUGAUGGCAUGUUCUCACAA
rnacentral:sRNA from 1 species